rnacentral:lncRNA from 1 species
GUGGUCGAUUUUGUAUGCGAAGCGGAAUACAUUGUUGCAUCGAAUGCUGCAAAGGAGGUGGUGUGGUUGCGAAAAUUUAUUAUCGAGCUGGGAGUUGUACCUUCCAUUGAUGGUCAUGUUCUGCUGUAUUAUGACAACUCCAGUGCCAUAGCUCAGGCAAAAAAACUUAAGUCGCACUAUCGCACUAACAUAUUCUGCAUCGCUAUCACCUAGUGUGAGAGAUCGUGAAUCGAUGUGAUGUCGAGCUUCAGAAGAUCGAUAAAAAUGAGAAUCUAGCCGAUCCCUUCACUAAAGCUCUCGGGAUCAAAGAGUUCGAUGACUUCAAAUGGAAGAUGGGUAUGAGAUACUGCCCCGAUUGAUUUUAGUCCAAGUGGGAGUUAUUGAGAAUUGUGUCCUAAAAUCAAUCAUGUGAUGAUUGAGUUCAUUCUUGUAUAUGAAUUAUUGAUUAUUAAAUAAUAAUUAUUUUGUAUAUUUUUCAUCACAAAGUGACAUCUUCCUUAAACUCUUGUACUGUGAUGAAGUCUCUAGAACUAUGUUAGUAUACGAUAAAGAGAGGAUUUAUCGUAUAGUUCUUAAAUAAGUUCGCGACCAAAUGAUACGUCAUUAUGGGAUGAUGACGUUUAUCGAGUGAAGAUUGUUGUAUGUCAUAUGAGUUAGUUAUCCUCUUAACCAAAGAGUGUGGUGACACUGGUAUGGCAUACAGGUGAGAUGUAAGGGUACAUCGUCACUGAACAAGUGACUCACCUGCUGAGCAUUCUACUGUCAAGAACUACUCUCCAAACACAUGGGUAUAAAUAUCCUUCAGACUUGAGAUCAUCAUAGUAACUUGCAAGCAACUCACUGUGCUUUGGUGCCGAACUAUCUGUAAUUUUUAAUACAGUGACGAAAGGCUACUGGGUACAGUCAAGUACUUACGAAGUCUAUGUAUGGANNNNNNNNNNNNNNNNNNNNCUUGAGAUCAUCAUAGUAACUUGCAAGCAACUCACUGUGCUUUGGUGCCGAACUAUCUGAAUUUUUAAUACAGUGACGAAAGGCUACUGGGUACAGUCAAGUACUUACGAAGUCUAUGUAUGGAUCAAGAUGGGAUUGACCCCUCCAGAUUAUUGGAGUUGAUGUAUUGCUGUAUUUUAAUUUAGUAAAGUCUUGUCCAGAGUAAUCCAUGAGAUAGAUUUGAAAGAUUGAAAUACAAUGUGGAUGAAGCAAUCUCAAUUGAUAGUUAACCUGAGACUAUCCUAGAGCAUCCAAGGUCAAAAAGAUGAAUUAUGUGGUAACCAUGAGUAUGAGUUCUGAAAUAUUUUUUUACAAUAAUUUGACCUAUCUGGACGUCGAAAAUCAUUGCUAGACAGUAUCUCGAUUAGUGCAAGAAUUGAUUCCUGUGCUACCGGCUUAGUGUUUGAACCUAUGGAGUCACGCAUACAAGUCAGACAAAGUAGGAAGAAAUUGACCUAUGUUUAUAUGUCUAAUCUAGAAGUACUUGACUUGAUUGAAUAUAUAAGCUAACUUGAUUGAGAAUUGAGUUAUGGGUCAAACAGAAUUGAAAAGUUGACUAUGUCUAGCUAGCACUACACAUGAGGUUCAGAUUUAAUCCUGGGGAUAAACAAUUUCUAUCUAUGAUUCAUGAAACAUAUGAAAGAUUGGAUUUAAGUAUUAAUUAAUUUUAGAUUAGAUUUGAAUUAAUUAGACUUAAAUAGGUCUAAAAUCCAAGUUAGACUUGANNNNNNNNNNNNNNNNNNNNUAUCUUAGGAAUGAAGAUCUAUAGGGAUAGAUCUAGAAGGUUGCUUGGAUUGUCCCAAUCCACGUAUAUUGACAUCUUGUUGAAGCAGUUCAACAUAGAUAAUUUCAAGAAAGACUAUCUUUCGAUAGGCCAUGAAAUUACUCUUUUCAAGAAGGAUUAUCCGAUAACUCCUGAGGAGAGAGAGCGCAUGAGUAGAAUACUAUAUGCGUUGACAGUGGGAUCUAUCAUGCACGCUAUGACAUGUACGAGGUCGGAUGUGGUCUAUUCACUAGGGAUAGUGAGUAGGUACCAGUCAGAUCUAGAUGAGAAGUAUUAGAAGAUUGCAAAAAUAAUUCUUAAGUAUUUGAGAAAACUAAAGACCAAUGGCUUAUCUAUGGAGACUCUGAUCUGAAACUGGUGAGAUAUACUGAUUCUAAUUUUUAGUCAGAUUGUGAUGACAGUAGAAAUAUGUCGGGCUACGUAUUUACCUUGAAUGGAGGAGCUAUUUACGGAAAAAGUUUCAAGCAACAUACUGUGGUCGAUUCUAUAUGCGAAGCGGAAUACAUUGUUGCAUCGAAUGCUGCAAAGGAGGUGGUGUGGUUGCAAAAAUUCAUUAUCGAGCUGGGAGUUGUACCUUCCAUUGAUGGUCAUAUUCUGCUGUAUUAUGACAACUCCAGUGCCAUAGCUCAGGCAAAAAAACUUAAGUCGCACUAUCGCACUAACAUAUUCUGCAUCGCUAUCACCUAGUGUGAG